UACGUAGGGUGCGAGCGUUAAUCGGAAUUACUGGGCGUAAAGCGUGCGCAGGCGGCUAUGCAAGACAGAUGUGAAAUCCCCGGGCUCAACCUGGGAACUGCAUUUGUGACUGCAUAGCUAGAGUACGGUAGAGGGGGAUGGAAUUCCGCGUGUAGCAGUGAAAUGCGUAGAUAUGCGGAGGAACACCGAUGGCGAAGGCAAUCCCCUGGACCUGUACUGACGCUCAUGCACGAAAGCGUGGGGAGCAAACAGG
rnacentral:rRNA from 1 species